rnacentral:misc_RNA from 1 species
GUAAAUAAUUAUAUUAAAUAAUUAUGCAAUUUUAAUUAUAAAAAAGUAUAAUAUAAUUUUGAUUACAAAAAAGUCAUUGUUUUUCAUUUGAAAAACAAUUGGAAAACGUGAUUUUGUUGUAAACAAAAAUCAGUGGAAACAACUUAAAACAAUUCUGCAAAUAUUAGUUAAGUUUUGAAAAACUGAAAAACUAUUUUGAAA